AAUCAACGCUGGCGGCGUGCCUCAGACAUGCAAGUCGAACGAUUAAACUUUCCUUCGGGAAAGAUAUAAAGUGGCGCACGGGUGAGUAACACGUAAGUAAUCUACCUUCGAGUGGGGAAUAACAUCGGGGAAACCCGAGCUAAUACCGCAUAACGCAGCGGCAUCGCAAGAUGACAGUUGUUAAAGGAGCAAUCCGCUUGAAGAGGAGCUUGCGGCAGAUUAGCUAGUUGGUAAGGUAACGGCUUACCAAGGCUACGACCUGUAUCCGGUCUAAGAGGACGGUCGGACACACUGACACUGAAUAACGGGUCAGACUCCUACGGGAGGCAGCAGUCGGGAAUUUUGGGCAAUGGGCGAAAGCCUGACCCAGCAACGCCGCGUGAGGGAUGAAGUAUUUCGGGAUGGAAACCUCGAAAGAAUGGGAAGAAUAAAUGACGGUACCAUUUAUAAGCCCCGGCUAACUACGUGCCAGCCGCCGCAGUAACAC
rnacentral:rRNA from 1 species